GAAUUGGAACACAGGUGCUGCAUGGCUGUCGUCAGCUCGUGUCGUGAGAUGUUGGGUUAAGUCCCGCAACGAGCGCAACCCUUAUCAUUAGUUGCUACGCAAGGGCACUCUAAUGAGACUGCCGGUGACAAACCGGAGGAAGGUGGGGAUGACGUCAAGUCCUCAUGGCCCUUAUGGGUAGGGCUUCACACGUCAUACAAUGGUCGGUACAGAGGGUUGCCAAGCCGCGAGGUGGAGCCAAUCCCAGAAAGCCGAUCGUAGUCCGGAUUGUUCUCUGCAACUCGAGAGCAUGAAGUCGGAAUCGCUAGUAAUCGCGGAUCAGCAUGUCGCGGUGAAUACGUUCCCGGGUCUUGUACACACCGCCCGUCAAGUGAUGGGAGUCGGAAGUACCCGAAGUCGGAUUGCUAACUCGCAAGAGAGGCGUCUGCCGACGGUAAGUUCGAUGAC
rnacentral:rRNA from 1 species